GGUUAAGCGACUAAGCGUACACGGUGGAUGCCCUGGCAGUCAGAGGCGAUGAAGGACGUGCUAAUCUGCGAUAAGCGUCGGUAAGGUGAUAUGAACCGUUAUAACCGGCGAUUUCCGAAUGGGGAAACCCAGUGUGUUUCGACACACUAUCAUUAACUGAAUCCAUAGGUUAAUGAGGCGAACCGGGGGAACUGAAACAUCUAAGUACCCCGAGGAAAAGAAAUCAACCGAGAUUCCCCCAGUAGCGGCGAGCGAACGGGGAGCAGCCCAGAGCCUGAAUCAGUGUGUGUGUUAGUGGAAGCGUCUGGAAAGGCGCGCGAUACAGGGUGACAGCCCCGUACACAAAAAUGCACAUACUGUGAGCUCGAUGAGUAGGGCGGGACACGUGGUAUCCUGUCUGAAUAUGGGGGGACCAUCCUCCAAGGCUAAAUACUCCUGACUGACCGAUAGUGAACCAGUACCGUGAGGGAAAGGCGAAAAGAACCCCGGCGAGGGGAGUGAAAAAGAACCUGAAACCGUGUACGUACAAGCAGUGGGAGCCUCUUAAUGGGGUGACUGCGUACCUUUUGUAUAAUGGGUCAGCGACUUAUAUUCUGUAGCAAGGUUAACCGAAUAGGGGAGCCGAAGGGAAACCGAGUCUUAACUGGGCGUUAAGUUGCAGGGUAUAGACCCGAAACCCGGUGAUCUAGCCAUGGGCAGGUUGAAGGUUGGGUAACACUAACUGGAGGACCGAACCGACUAAUGUUGAAAAAUUAGCGGAUGACUUGUGGCUGGGGGUGAAAGGCCAAUCAAACCGGGAGAUAGCUGGUUCUCCCCGAAAGCUAUUUAGGUAGCGCCUCGUGAAUUCAUCUCCGGGGGUAGAGCACUGUUUCGGCAAGGGGGUCAUCCCGACUUACCAACCCGAUGCAAACUGCGAAUACCGGAGAAUGUUAUCACGGGAGACACACGGCGGGUGCUAACGUCCGUCGUGAAGAGGGAAACAACCCAGACCGCCAGCUAAGGUCCCAAAGUCAUGGUUAAGUGGGAAACGAUGUGGGAAGGCCCAGACAGCCAGGAUGUUGGCUUAGAAGCAGCCAUCAUUUAAAGAAAGCGUAAUAGCUCACUGGUCGAGUCGGCCUGCGCGGAAGAUGUAACGGGGCUAAACCAUGCACCGAAGCUGCGGCAGCGACACUAUGUGUUGUUGGGUAGGGGAGCGUUCUGUAAGCCUGUGAAGGUGUACUGUGAGGUAUGCUGGAGGUAUCAGAAGUGCGAAUGCUGACAUAAGUAACGAUAAAGCGGGUGAAAAGCCCGCUCGCCGGAAGACCAAGGGUUCCUGUCCAACGUUAAUCGGGGCAGGGUGAGUCGACCCCUAAGGCGAGGCCGAAAGGCGUAGUCGAUGGGAAACAGGUUAAUAUUCCUGUACUUGGUGUUACUGCGAAGGGGGGACGGAGAAGGCUAUGUUGGCCGGGCGACGGUUGUCCCGGUUUAAGCGUGUAGGCUGGUUUUCCAGGCAAAUCCGGAAAAUCAAGGCUGAGGCGUGAUGACGAGGCACUACGGUGCUGAAGCAACAAAUGCCCUGCUUCCAGGAAAAGCCUCUAAGCAUCAGGUAACAUCAAAUCGUACCCCAAACCGACACAGGUGGUCAGGUAGAGAAUACCAAGGCGCUUGAGAGAACUCGGGUGAAGGAACUAGGCAAAAUGGUGCCGUAACUUCGGGAGAAGGCACGCUGAUAUGUAGGUGAAGUCCCUUGCGGAUGGAGCUGAAAUCAGUCGAAGAUACCAACUGGCUGCAACUGUUUAUUAAAAACACAGCACUGUGCAAACACGAAAGUGGACGUAUACGGUGUGACGCCUGCCCGGUGCCGGAAGGUUAAUUGAUGGGGUUAGCGGUAACGCGAAGCUCUUGAUCGAAGCCCCGGUAAACGGCGGCCGUAACUAUAACGGUCCUAAGGUAGCGAAAUUCCUUGUCGGGUAAGUUCCGACCUGCACGAAUGGCGUAAUGAUGGCCAGGCUGUCUCCACCCGAGACUCAGUGAAAUUGAACUCGCUGUGAAGAUGCAGUGUACCCGCGGCAAGACGGAAAGACCCCGUGAACCUUUACUAUAGCUUGACACUGAACAUUGAGCCUUGAUGUGUAGGAUAGGUGGGAGGCUUUGAAGUGUGGACGCCAGUCUGCAUGGAGCCGGCCUUGAAAUACCACCCUUUAAUGUUUGAUGUUCUAACGUUGGCCCCUGAUCGGGGUUGCGGACAGUGUCUGGUGGGUAGUUUGACUGGGGCGGUCUCCUCCUAAAGAGUAACGGAGGAGCACGAAGGUUGGCUAAUCCUGGUCGGACAUCAGGAGGUUAGUGCAAUGGCAUAAGCCAGCUUGACUGCGAGCGUGACGGCGCGAGCAGGUGCGAAAGCAGGUCAUAGUGAUCCGGUGGUUCUGAAUGGAAGGGCCAUCGCUCAACGGAUAAAAGGUACUCCGGGGAUAACAGGCUGAUACCGCCCAAGAGUUCAUAUCGACGGCGGUGUUUGGCACCUCGAUGUCGGCUCAUCACAUCCUGGGGCUGAAGUAGGUCCCAAGGGUAUGGCUGUUCGCCAUUUAAAGUGGUACGCGAGCUGGGUUUAGAACGUCGUGAGACAGUUCGGUCCCUAUCUGCCGUGGGCGCUGGAGAACUGAGGGGGGCUGCUCCUAGUACGAGAGGACCGGAGUGGACGCAUCACUGGUGUUCGGGUUGUCAUGCCAAUGGCACUGCCCGGUAGCUAAAUGCGGAAGAGAUAAGUGCUGAAAGCAUCUAAGCACGAAACUUGCCCCGAGAUGAGUUCUCCCUGACUCUUUAAGGGUCCUGAAGGAACGUUGAAGACGACGACGUUGAUAGGCCGGGUGUGUAAGCGCAGCGAUGCGUUGAGCUAACCGGUACUAAUGAACCGUGAGGCUUAACCUU
rnacentral:rRNA from 1 species